rnacentral:antisense_RNA from 1 species
GCCCUUCAUGUGGGGCUGAAGUCUUAAGACCUGGAGAGCAGCCCCAAGGGUGGAGAAGCGGCUGCUGAAGGGAUCAGCAUGCGCUGGCACAGGAAGUCUGUUUUCCAUGUGUCUGGAACCCAGCCGAAUCUUCCUGGGGUAAUUUUAACCAGUAUCCACUCUAGAACAAUACCAAAAAAGCAAGACUGUGUUGGGCUGGAGGAAAGGCAGUAAUCAACUCCAUGUUCCACAUGAGGAAACUGAAGAUCAUGGAAGGCAAGUCGAGAGCCCCAAGGUUAUCCAGCUUCAAGGUCACCAGUCACCCAGCUUCCUUCUUUCGUGCAGCCAGAUGCCCAUCCCAGUACUAGGUUGCGCUGUGGGGAUUGUGGAGUAGCUUAAGGCCUCCCUCUGCCUGCCCCACCCCCACUGUGUUUAUAUUGUUGGGAAACUUAAUCCACGGAAAUAAAGUGUGGAUUAUUUUUAUUGA